rnacentral:rRNA from 1 species
UGCAGUCGAGCGGUAGCACAGAGAGCUUGCUCUCGGGUGACGAGCGGCGGACGGGUGAGUAAUGUCUGGGAAACUGCCUGAUGGAGGGGGAUAACUACUGGAAACGGUAGCUAAUACCGCAUAACGUCGCAAGACCAAAGUGGGGGACCUUCGGGCCUCAUGCCAUCAGAUGUGCCCAGAUGGGAUUAGCUAGUAGGUGGGGUAACGGCUCACCUAGGCGACGAUCCCUAGCUGGUCUGAGAGGAUGACCAGCCACACUGGAACUGAGACACGGUCCAGACUCCUACGGGAGGCAGCAGUGGGGAAUAUUGCACAAUGGGCGCAAGCCUGAUGCAGCCAUGCCGCGUGUGUGAAGAAGGCCUUCGGGUUGUAAAGCACUUUCAGCGGGGAGGAAGGCGGUGAGGUUAAUAACCUCAUCGAUUGACGUUACCCGCAGAAGAAGCACCGGCUAACUCCGUGCCAGCAGCCGCGGUAAUACGGAGGGUGCAAGCGUUAAUCGGAAUUACUGGGCGUAAAGCGCACGCAGGCGGUCUGUCAAGUCGGAUGUGAAAUCCCCGGGCUCAACCUGGGAACUGCAUUCGAAACUGGCAGGCUAGAGUCUUGUAGAGGGGGGUAGAAUUCCAGGUGUAGCGGUGAAAUGCGUAGAGAUCUGGAGGAAUACCGGUGGCGAAGGCGGCCCCCUGGACAAAGACUGACGCUCAGGUGCGAAAGCGUGGGGAGCAAACAGGAUUAGAUACCCUGGUAGUCCACGCUGUAAACGAUGUCGAUUUGGAGGUUGUGCCCUUGAGGCGUGGCUUCCGGAGCUAACGCGUUAAAUCGACCGCCUGGGGAGUACGGCCGCAAGGUUAAAACUCAAAUGAAUUGACGGGGGCCCGCACAAGCGGUGGAGCAUGUGGUUUAAUUCGAUGCAACGCGAAGAACCUUACCUGGUCUUGACAUCCACAGAACUUUCCAGAGAUGGAUUGGUGCCUUCGGGAACUGUGAGACAGGUGCUGCAUGGCUGUCGUCAGCUCGUGUUGUGAAAUGUUGGGUUAAGUCCCGCAACGAGCGCAACCCUUAUCCUUUGUUGCCAGCGGUUAGGCCGGGAACUCAAAGGAGACUGCCAGUGAUAAACUGGAGGAAGGUGGGGAUGACGUCAAGUCAUCAUGGCCCUUACGACCAGGGCUACACACGUGCUACAAUGGCAUAUACAAAGAGAAGCGACCUCGCGAGAGCAAGCGGACCUCAUAAAGUAUGUCGUAGUCCGGAUUGGAGUCUGCAACUCGACUCCAUGAAGUCGGAAUCGCUAGUAAUCGUAGAUCAGAAUGCUACGGUGAAUACGUUCCCGGGCCUUGUACACACCGCCCGUCACACCAUGGGAGUGGGUUGCAAAAGAAGUAGGUAGCUUAACCUUCGGGAGGGCG